rnacentral:rRNA from 1 species
UGGGGAAUAUUGGACAAUGGGCGCAAGCCUGAUCCAGCCAUGCCGCGUGAGUGAUGAAGGCCUUAGGGUUGUAAAGCUCUUUCGGCGGGGACGAUAAUGACGGUACCCGCAGAAGAAGCCCCGGCUAACUUCGUGCCAGCAGCCGCGGUAAUACGAAGGGGGCUAGCGUUGCUCGGAAUCACUGGGCGUAAAGGGCGCGUAGGCGGACAUUUAAGUCGGGGGUGAAAGCCCAGGGCUCAACCCUGGAAUUGCCUCCGAUACUGGGUGUCUCGAGAUCGGAAGAGGUGAGUGGAACUGCGAGUGUAGAGGUGAAAUUCGUAGAUAUUCGCAAGAACACCAGUGGCGAAGGCGGCUCACUGGUCCGGUUCUGACGCUGAGGCGCGAAAGCGUGGGGAGCAAACAGGAUUAGAUACCCUGGUAGUCCACGCCGUAAAACGAUGGAUGCUAGCCGUUGGCAGGCUUGCCUGCCAGUGGCGCAGCUAACGCUUUAAGCAUCCCGCCUGGGGAGUACGGCCGCAAGGUUAAAACUCAAAGGAAUUGACGGGGUCAUAGCUGUUUCCU